CCUCCUUCUUCCCCUCCCUCACCAUAAAGCAUUUCUGCCUUCCUUCAGCAAGCCCAGCCAAUGUUCCCUCCACUGCAGUUGUGGUGUGGUCAUUGUCUCUCUCAGACCUCUCUCCUGUGCAGGAAAAAUGAAGUUUAGAACUGAUUCUUGACACGUGAUGCACAUUUGUCAGGAGGCCAAGGCAAAUCAGAAUAAACAACUCGAAGAAAAUGGCAAAUUCAAGAAAAUAAAAGUAGCUUAAUAUGAUUUAAUACCAAUAAAGUGGUUAAGAUGAAGUUUCUUAAACUCUUUUAUGGAGGCUAGGUAACAAUGACAUGGAUUUUUGAGGAACAAUUCCAGAGCUUUGAAUGACUGAAAUAUACUGAAACCAAAAAGAAAAGCUUGGUCUUGAUUAUCUAUAUAACAGAUUAGCUUGAAGGAAAUAAUUAUUACCAAUCUGUACCAUAACAGCUGUACUUAAAUGCAAUGUAACAUUUAAGGUCUGUGGAGC